rnacentral:tRNA from 1 species
GGAGAGAUGCCGGAGUGGCCGAUCGGGCCGCACUCGAAAUGCGGUAUCCCGCAUUGCGGGAUCGUGAGUUCGAAUCUCACUCUCUCCG